rnacentral:lncRNA from 1 species
GCAUCCCAAACAUGCUCAAUGGGUGAGUCUAAUAAUUUUAGACUGCAGAAUGUGCCUUAUUGUGCUAAACAAUAAAUACUGUAACUGCUUACAUUUUGAUACUGCCACCAAGUACAUCAAGAAUUAAAACAUGAUUUGAGUUUUAACCAGACUGUCUGUCAGUUUUCACUCUAUUCUAGGUAAUGACAUGUUCCUCCACCCAACAGCUAGCAACAGCAAACUUUGUGAUACAAGUUGGAAAGUCUACAUACUUUCUGUUCAGAUGAAGACAAUGCUUCCAUGCAAAAGAGCAGCCUCCACUGCUGUACAGGAGGAGAACAGGCGACUGAAGUUUCGACGUCAAGUGGACG